CGCCCUCGCCCACCCGAGUCCCGGGCGGCGCGGGGUCGGGCGCGGGGGCAGUGGUGCGGGGCGUGAGGGUCGUGGGUGCGCACGUCGGGGGGCGCUGCCCCGCUGUCCGGGGGCGCCCCGGGUCAGCCCCGGGUCAGCCCCAGCCGCCCCGUGGGGCCCAGCUGCCGCCGCUGGCACCUCCGCGCGCCGCUGGCACCUCCGUCCGCCCCCGCGCCGCCGUAGGAACCGGAGGGAGCCAGCGGGCCGAGCGAAGGGGCAGCGGUGAGCUGUGGGGGAUUUUACUGGGGAGCAAAGUGUCGGCGUCCUGGGCUGCGCGCUUCUCCGCUGCGGCCCUGGAGGUGGCGACUGGCGGGGCCGGGGGCGCGGGGGUGCGUGUGCAGCCACCCUGGGGGCUCAGGCCCCGCCGGGAGGGCGCUGGCGGGCGCGAGGCGGAAGAACCGCGGUGUUCACGGAGCACUUUCCAGGGUGCAGGUCGUGUUCGGCCUGGGGACGGUGAGAGGAUCAGGGCGUCCUUAGGAACCCUUACGGAGCACAGAAGUGGGAGAGCGAUUGACAGCGAAUCGGAAGGGGCCGAAAUAGAGACGCCGUGCAGUGCAACGGGAGCCUAAGUUACUGAGCUUCCAUGGUGCGCUUUUGCAUUUAAUGGCCGUGCAGGAAAGUCUAAUUCUGAACCACCUAUCGGGAUGCGAGGAUUCAUGUGAAAGUGUUUCAUAAGCCUGGAAGCCCUGGGCUCACGUAAAGUGCUAUGGGAAAGCAAUUUAUGGAAAUAAGGUAAUAUAUAUGCACAGCCCUGGGAAUUGUAGUCAAGCAACUCUGUUACCGAGCUCCUACUAUCUGCCAAAGAGGAGAGCUGUGUUUGAGAUGGGUGGGAUGACUUUUUCCAGGACUGCUCUCCCUCUUCCAGAUCUCUUAGCCUGGGAUUUAGGUGGGGUGGAGCUGAGGAGGUAGUUGCAGAAUUCGAAUCUGUAGCUUGACCAUUAAUGUUACCAACUCCUUAUUCGAUUCGUAAUUGAGGGAUUUGUUUGUAUUUCAUUUUAUAUUUUUAAAGAUUUUAUUUAUUUAUUCGUGAGAGAGACCUACAGAGAGAGGCGGCGACAUAGGCAGAAGGAGAAGCAGGCUCCAUGCAGGAAGCCGGAUGUGGGACCCGAUCCCGGGUCUCCAGGAUCAUGACCUGAGCCAAAGGCAGAUGCUCAGCCGCUGAGCCAGCCAGGAGGUUUGGUAAAGGGCUGUUUGGCAGAGUCCUGAGCCUGGAAACAUUUGGUCCAUGUGAAUACCACAGCAGAGGACGUUCUUAAUCAGACAGGAUGGCCUACUUUAUGGAUAGCAGCUGGUUCUGGCUGUCUAGGAGUCCAGGAAGAGAUGUUCCUCUGUACUGCAUAUGGCCAAACAUGGGAUGGUGAUUAACCUUGAUUAUAAGGGAAAGAGAGCUAUCUUCCAUUUACUUGUUACCACAUUGUGUGAUGAUUGGAUAUUAUUCAAUAAUUAAUAUUUAUUAUCACUUAGCAAUACCAGGCAUGAUUUUAUGUGCUUUACUUUGUGUAUUACUUAAUUCUCAUAACAACCUUAAAAAAGUGUCUACCUGUGUUCCUUAUUAAUUAUCAUAACAACCUAUAAAAAGGUGUCUACCUGUGUUCCUCCACAAAUAUGGAGUAUGGACCAUUCAUACCUUGUACAAUUGAUAGUACUUAUCAACUGAGCACUAUGUUUUCUUGACCUUACUUGCGGAAUUCUGACUGAAUUAGACUACAGUGGCUGCACAAGGAUACUUAGCAAGAACAGUUUGAUAAUUAAAAAGGGAGAGAGAAUUUUAAUGUUCAUCAGUAGGGGACUGGUUAAGUUAUGGUGUAGCCAUAUUGUAGAAUAUUAUCCUGCUGUUCAGAUUGAAGUAGAUCCACUUGUACAGAUGUGGAUGGAUGUCCAUGACACAUUGCUUGGUGAAUAAAUUGUAGAACAAUGUGUGUAUUUUAAAUAAAUCUUUGUAUGUGUAUAUGUAUGUAGUUGUGUGUAUAGAAGAAGUUUGGAGGAACACCCCAGAAUUCUAAUAUGAAUUAUUCUGGAGAAUGGGACUUGGAGGCGGGAGGGAAGAUAUUCUUCUGUGCUUUUUAUAUUUUGUAUUUUUCCCCCAAUCAAGUUUGUAUCCUUUUUUUGUAAUUAGAAAUUUAAAUAAACUUUGAGAAAGUCUUUCUUA